GAAAGUAAAUAUUAAAGCCUUGUCUUCCUUGGAAAUUUGUGUAUAUAGCACUGUGUUGGAAAAUACUUCUCAAGUUCCAGUGUAUAUAUAUUCCAGGAAUAUACAUCUCUGGAGAAAUCUAAGGGCAGCUUAGAUAAGACCCCAAACCCCUUUGUAGUAGAAGAUUUAAAAGAGAGCAAAGACCCGUUGUUAGAGAGGAGUAGAGGUGGGAAAAGCAUGGCUUGGAGGCAAACCUUGGGAUUGAGUUCCUUUAAUAUGCAGUGUGGCCUUCAACAAAUUAUGAUAUUCCAUUUGCUUUUGUUCCCUUUUAUUUAAAACAAGACAGUCUACUUAAAGAUCUCAGAGGUUGAAUAAUAUAUGAAAGACUUACUGAAGAUACUCUGAAUAGUAGCUAUUAUUACAUGGGUAGAGAAUGGAUUUUUCAUUUUAUUCUGUUCAUUCUUAAUAUGUAAGUAAUGAGCUAUUGUGAUGAAAGGGAAGUGAUGGGGAGGGGGGACUCCCUUUGAAAUAGAU
rnacentral:lncRNA from 1 species